rnacentral:rRNA from 1 species
AACGAACGCUGGCGGCAUGCCUAACACAUGCAAGUCGAACGAAGCCUUCGGGCUUAGUGGCGCACGGGUGCGUAACGCGUGGGAAUCUGCCCUUGGGUUCGGAAUAACAGUUAGAAAUGACUGCUAAUACCGGAUGAUGUCUUCGGACCAAAGAUUUAUCGCCCAAGGAUGAGCCCGCGUAGGAUUAGGUAGUUGGUGGGGUAAUGGCCCACCAAGCCGACGAUCCUUAGCUGGUCUGAGAGGAUGAUCGGCCACACUGGGACUGAGACACGGCCCAGACUACUACGGGAGGCAGCAGUGGGGAAUAUUGGACAAUGGGCGAAAGCCUGAUCCAGCAAUGCCGCGUGAGUGAUGAAGGCCUUAGGGUUGUAAAGCUCUUUUACCAGGGAUGAUAAUGACAGUACCUGGAGAAUAAGCUCCGGCUAACUCCGUGCCAGCCGCCGCAGUAA